CAUGAACAGUAAUUCGGUAAUCUUAGUAUUAAUAGUUAUGAUCUUUAAAUUAAAAGAAUUUGGCGGUAAUCUAGUCUGUUCAGAGGAAUCUGCCCUGUAAUUGAUAUUCCACGAUGAAUUUUACUUUAUCUAUGCUUGUAUAUCUCUGUCAUUGAAUGUCCUAUUAGGGUAUUUUCUUUAAUCUUUAAUGUGUAAGAUGUCAGGUCAAGGUGCAGCGAUGGUAAAGAAGAGGUGGAUUACAUUAAAUUUAUUUAUGGAUAGUGAAUAUGGAAAUUUUCUUGAAAUUGGAUUUGAAAGUAAUUUCUAUUAGAAUAUAGAUUUGAUUUUAGCUCUAGAUUAUGC
rnacentral:rRNA from 3 species